AUUGAACGCUGGCGGCAUGCUUUACACAUGCAAGUCGAACGGUAACAGGCCUUCGGGUGCUGACGAGUGGCGAACGGGUGAGUAAUGCAUCGGAACGUACCCAGAGGUGGGGGAUAACACAGCGAAAGCUGUGCUAAUACCGCAUGUGAUCUGAGGAUGAAAGCGGGGGACCGAGCAGCAAUGUUUGGCCUCGCGCCUUUGGAGCGGCCGAUGUCGGAUUAGCUAGUUGGUGGGGUAAAGGCCUACCAAGGCGACGAUCCGUAGCUGGUCUGAGAGGACGACCAGCCACACUGGGACUGAGACACGGCCCAGACUCCUACGGGAGGCAGCAGUGGGGAAUUUUGGACAAUGGGCGCAAGCCUGAUCCAGCAAUGCCGCGUGCGGGAAGAAGGCCUUCGGGUUGUAAACCGCUUUUGGCAGGAACGAAACGGUGUCCGCUAAUACCGGGCGCUAAUGACGGUACCUGCAGAAUAAGCACCGGCUAACUACGUG
rnacentral:rRNA from 1 species